rnacentral:rRNA from 1 species
UGGCCAAGGGGCAUGCCUCAGUAGCGGCGAGUGAAGCGGCAAGAGCUCAGAUUUGAAAUCGUGCUUUGCGGCACGAGUUGUAGAUUGCAGGUUGGAGUCUGUGUGGAAGGCGGUGUCCAAGUCCCUUGGAACAGGGCGCCCAGGAGGGUGAGAGCCCCGUGGGAUGCCGGCGGAAGCAGUGAGGCCCUUCUGACGAGUCGAGUUGUUUGGGAAU